rnacentral:rRNA from 1 species
CCUGACGGUAGUCGUAUGCUCGUCUCCGAGACUAAGCCAUGCAAGUCCAAGUACACGUCCUUGAACGACGGAAACUGCGAACGGCUCAUUAAAUCAGUUGCGAUCUACUCGGCGUUCCGCGCCGCCGGAUAACCGUAGUAAUUCUAGGGCUAAUACGUGCGAAGCGCCCGAAGCCGCGAGGCGACGGGCGUUCUCGCCGGAUGUAGGAACCGACCCGGGGACCGCCGGGGCAACCCGGCGCCCCCGAGACGGGGCGAACCACGGUGAAAUGACGGAUCGUCGGCCCCGCGCCGGCGACUCGCCGAAUGAGUUUCUGACCUAUCAACUCGAGACGGCGGGGUAGAGGCCCGCCGCGGUAACGACGGGUAACGGGGAAUCAGGGUUCGAUUCCCGGAGAGGGAGCCCGAGAAACGGCUACCACUUCCAAGGAAGGCAGCAGGCGCGCAACUUACCCUAAUCUCGAUUCGAGGAGGUAGGU